UUCACACUGGUUCUUCCACUUCAGCUGGAGGUUAGGAUGAGUGCUCUCAAGGGUCUCCUCAAACUGGGAGAUCAUCUGGUUUUAUUCACGUGAAACUUUUCAUUUUGCAGAUUCCCCUUAACCACUUUGUGAUGGCUAACUGUUUGGACUGGAUGUAAAACAGGAUUCUACCCAACAAUUAGAAACAUGGAGAGAGCUACAAUGUACAUCUGACAAGCAGUUCAUCUCUAGACAUAUUAUAGACUUCAAAUUAAGAGCCUAACUUCUUAAGUUUGAGCUCUUCAUGUUUAAGUUUAUCAUCGUAGACACACAGAGGAAGCAAAUCUCGAUUCACUCCUAUGGAGUGAGCAUCACUUUUAUCUUCAUUUUACAGCUGGGGAGUCAGAGACAGAUUUGUCUGAUCCCAUACUUUCAGGAAGGUAAGGAGCCAGGAUUUGGAAAGCGGCAGCUAUGGUGUUGCCAGUCCAUUUUCCUAAGUACUAUGUUCCUUA
rnacentral:lncRNA from 1 species